AGUGAACGCUGGCGGUAGGCCUAACACAUGCAGGUCGAACGGCAGCACAGUAAGAGCUUGCUCUUACGGGUGGCGAGUGGCGGACGGGUGAGGAAUACAUCGGAAUCUACUUUUUCGUGGGGGAUAACGUAGGGAAACUUACGCUAAUACCGCAUACGACCUACGGGUGAAAGCAGGGGAUCUUCGGACCUUGCGCGAUUGAAUGAGCCGAUGUCGGAUUAGCUAGUUGGCGGGGUAAAGGCCCACCAAGGCGACGAUCCGUAGCUGGUCUGAGAGGAUGAUCAGCCACACUGGAACUGAGACACGGUCCAGACUCCUACGGGAGGCAGCAGUGGGGAAUAUUGGACAAUGGGCGCAAGCCUGAUCCAGCCAUACCGCGUGGGUGAAGAAGGCCUUCGGGUUGUAAAGCCCUUUUGUUGGGGAAGAAAAGCAGCAGGUUAAUACCCCGCUGUUCUGACGGUACCCAAAGAAUAAGCACCGGCUAACUUCGUG
rnacentral:rRNA from 1 species